rnacentral:rRNA from 1 species
GACGAACGCUGGCGGCGUGCUUAACACAUGCAAGUCGAACGGAAAGGCCCUGCUUGCAGGGUACUCGAGUGGCGAACGGGUGAGUAACACGUGGGUGAUCUGCCCUGCACUUCGGGAUAAGCUUGGGAAACUGGGUCUAAUACCGGAUAGGAGCCAUCUUUAGUGUGGUGGUUGGAAAGUUUUUUCGGUGUAGGAUGAGCUCGCGGCCUAUCAGCUUGUUGGUGGGGUAAUGGCCUACCAAGGCGGCGACGGGUAGCCGGCCUGAGAGGGUGUACGGCCACAUUGGGACUGAGAUACGGCCCAGACUCCUACGGGAGGCAGCAGUGGGGAAGAUUGCACAAUGGGCGCAAGCCUGAUGCAGCGACGCCGCGUGGGGGAUGAAGGCCUUCGGGUUGUAAACUCAUUUCGCUAGGGACGAAGCUUUGUGUGACGGUACCUAGAUAAGAAGCACCGGCUAACUACGUG